ACGGAAGGCAGCAGUGGGGAAUAUUGCACAAUGGGCGAAAGCCUGAUGCAGCGACGCCGCGUGAGUGAUGAAGUAUUUCGGUAUGUAAAGCUCUAUCAGCAGGGAAGAUAAUGACGGUACCUGACUAAGAAGCACCGGCUAAAUACGUGCCAGCAGCCGCGGUAAUACGUAUGGUGCAAGCGUUAUCCGGAUUUACUGGGUGUAAAGGGAGCGCAGGCGGUACGGCAAGUCUGAUGUGAAAGCCCGGGGCUCAGCCCCGGUACUGCAUUGGAAACUGUCGAACUAGAGUGUCGGAGGGGUAAGUGGAAUUCCUAGUGUAGCGGUGAAAUGCGUAGAUAUUAGGAGGAACACCAGUGGCGAAGGCGACUUACUGGACGAUAACUGACGCUGAGGCUCGAAAGCGUGGGGAGCAAACAGGAUUAGAUACCCUGGUA
rnacentral:rRNA from 1 species